GCGGAAGUACCCAAGUGGCCAAAGGGGCUCCCCUGCUAAGGGAGUAGGCGGCUAAUACCCGUGCGAGGGUUCAAAUCCCUCCUUCCGCGCCA
rnacentral:tRNA from 1 species